rnacentral:lncRNA from 1 species
CAGGCAUUGGGGACAUAGUGUGUGAAAUAGCCUUAACCUCCUGAAGUUUACAGUCUAGUCAGGACAUAGAGUAAACAAAAUUACAUAUGUUCUUGGCAGCAAAGCUGGAAUAAAAGGAUAACCACAUUGUCUUCUCUUAGAGGGCACCUCCCUUUAAAG